rnacentral:rRNA from 1 species
AACGAACGCUGGCGGCAGGCUUAACACAUGCAAGUCGAACGCGUGUAGCAAUACACGAGUGGCGCACGGGUGAGUAACGCGUGGAUAUCUGCCUUUUGGUUCGGAAUAACCCCGGGAAACUGGGGCUAAUACCGGAUGGUUCCUUCGGGAUAAAGAUUUAUCGCCAAAAGAUGAGUCCGCGUCCGAUUAGCUAGUUGGUGAGGUAAGGGCUUACCAAGGCGACGAUCGGUAGCUGGUCUGAGAGGACGAUCAGCCACACUGGGACUGGGACACGGCCCAGACUCCUACGGGAGGCAGCAGUGGGGAAUAUUGGACAAUGGGGGCAACCCUGAUCCAGCCAUGCCGCGUGAGUGAUGAAGGCCUUCGGGUUGUAAAGCUCUUUUGGCGGGGACGAUGAUGACGGUACCCGCAGAAUAAGCCCCGGCUAACUUCGUGCCAGCAGCCGCCGUAA